rfam:Oryza sativa (indica cultivar-group) chromosome 11, whole genome shotgun sequence.
AAAGACUGAAUUCUUUGGUUUUCGUAUCCAACGUUUGACCGUCCGUCUUAUAUGAAUUUUUUUUAUGAUUAGUAUUUUCAUUAUUAUUAGAUAAUAAAACAUGAAUAAUACUUUAUGCAUGACUUGUCUUCUAAAUUUUUUUUAUAAUUUUUUCAAAUAAGACGAACGGUCAAAUGUUAGACACGAAAACCCAGGAAUUGAGUUUUU